rnacentral:rRNA from 1 species
UGCAAGUCGAGCGGUAACAGGUGUAGCAAUACAUGCUGACGAGCGGCGAACGGGUGAGUAAUGCUUCGGAAUCUGCCCAAUGGUGGGGAAUAACCAGCCGAAAGGUUGGCUAAUACCGCAUAAGUCCUACGGGAGAAAGCAGGGGAUCGUAAGACCUUGCGCCGAUGGAUGAGCCGAAGCCGGAUUAGCUAGUUGGUAGGGUAACGGCCUACCAAGGCGACGAUCCGUAGCUGGUCUGAGAGGACGACCAGCCACACUGGGACUGAGACACGGCCCAGACUCCUACGGGAGGCAGCAGUGGGGAAUAUUGGACAAUGGGGGAAACCCUGAUCCAGCGACGCCGCGUGUGUGAAGAAGGCCUGCGGGUUGUAAAGCACUUUUAGUGGGGAUGAAAAGCUCAGGGCUAAUACCUCUGGGUCUUGACCUAACCCAAAGAAAAAGCACCGGCUAACUCUGUGCCAGCAGCCGCGGUAAUACAGAGGGUGCAAGCGUUAAUCGGAAUUACUGGGCGUAAAGCGUGCGUAGACGGUUACAUAAGUCGGGUGUGAAAGCCCCGGGCUCAACCUGGGAAUUGCAUUCGAGACUGCGUAGCUAGGGUGCGGAAGAGGGAAGCGGAAUUUCAGGUGUAGCGGUGAAAUGCGUAGAUAUCUGAAGGAACACCAGUGGCGAAAGCGGCUUCCUGGUCCAGCACCGACGUUCAGGCACGAAAGCGUGGGGAGCAAACAGGAUUAGAUACCCUGGUAGUCCACGCCAUAAACGAUGAGAACUAGACGUUGAGAGGGUAAGCCUCCCAGUGUCGUAGCUAACGCGCUAAGUUCUCCGCCUGGGGAGUACGGCCGCAAGGUUGAAACUC